UAUGCUGUGAGCUCGAUGAGUAGGGCGGGACACGUGGUAUCCUGUCUGAAUAUGGGGGGACCAUCCUCCAAGGCUAAAUACUCCUGACUGACCGAUAGUGAACCAGUACCGUGAGGGAAAGGCGAAAAGAACCCCGGCGAGGGGAGUGAAAAAGAACCUGAAACCGUGUACGUACAAGCAGUGGGAGCCC
rnacentral:rRNA from 2 species